CUUCUAUAAAAGCCUCCACUCUUCUGGGAAGGCUUUCCACUAUAUGUUGGAACAUUGCUGCAGGGACUUGUUUCCAUUCAGCCACAAGAGCAUUAGUGAGGUCAGCGCACUGAUGUUGAGCAAUUAGGCCUGGCUCGCAGUUGGCAUUCCAAUUCAUCCCAAAGGUGCUCGAUGAGGUCAGGACUCUGUUCAGACUUUGCCGUAAAGGUCCAUCAUUAAUUGACCACUGAAUCACUGUCGCCUCCCGAAGUUCUUAAUUUGACACCAAUAUGGACUCAACAAACUCUCAAGUAAUAUUGAACUGAAAGUCAUAUUGGAAGUUCAUAUGAGUAGUCAGACAUAUUCUAAACAUCGCACAACUAUUACCAACAGCUGUUCACUUAACUCAUCUGACUACCAGUCAAUGACUCAUGUCAUCCCUCUUCUCUAUCCACACAUCCCUCCAUCCAUCCUUCUGUGUCUCUUUUAUCCAUCCAUCGCACCCUUAUCUUAUUUUCUACUUUUUUUAUUUCCAGUAUGCCUACCAUGCCAGUGUUUGUGUAGCUCUGCCAUGAUUAAAGUAAUGGUGGUGCGAGCGUAUCACAGAAGGCCUAAUAUCGCAUCCGUUCCCACACUCAUUAUAUUAAUGGGUUUUCUUUUUCCAGACAGCUUCCCGCCUUCUCACAGCAACCCUGUGGAAAACAUCUGUCGGAGCCUAUGACCUUAUGGUGGAGGCAUAGUCACUAACUAACGUAUGCAAGGGAGGGAUAAUAAAGAUGUCAGCGGUUCUCCGAGCUACGAUAUCACUUAAACAUUACUUUGAAGCCACUCAUUUAACAAUUACUCCAAUGUCUCUUUUUAAACAACAGGCUUUUUAAGGGGCUGAUACCAGAGGUGCGUGAGAUCUAAAGCAAUAAAGAAAGCUUAUGGAUGACAAGGUAAUGUACAGGUGCAAGAGAGUAGACAGUAUUAUCUUGGAAGUCUUGGAAAACUCCCCUGUCCCAGACUUUGAGAAGCAUUAGUUAGAUGUUCUUACACUGGUGGUGAAUGGAAUGCACAACAGAAAUGUAAAUACUUGGAAAACAAGAGAGACUGGAGACGGAGACUGGAGACGAUGAGACUGGAGAUGGAGGGACUGGAGACGGAGGGACUGGAGACGGGGAGAGACUGGAGACGGAGGGACUGGAGACGGAGAGACUGGAGACGGAGGGACUGGAGACGGAUGGACUGGAGACGGAGAGACUGGAGAUGGAGAGACUGGAGACAGGGAGAGACUGGAGACGGAGAGACUGGAGACGGAGGGACUGGAGACGGAGGGACUGGAGACGGAGGGACUGGAGACGGAGGGACUGGAGACGGGGAGAGACUGGAGACGGAGAGACUGGAGACGGAGAGACUGGAGACGGAGAGACUGGAGACGGAGAGACUGGAGACGGAGAGACUGGAGACGGAGAGACUGGAGACAGAGUUACUACUACGAGAUGUGACAGGCUUCCCUAUAGAGUUUAUGGUUAUUCUCUUUACACACACACACACACACACACACACACACACACACACACACACACACACACACACACACACACACACACACA
rnacentral:lncRNA from 1 species